CUUUACCCGCUCUUCGCCACAUUAUGGCCUGCGGCUAUUGAUGGGAUUUGAGGAGCAAACACCCUGAGCAACCCCGAAAGGAGAGAGCUAUGUCUUUUGAAUUACCGGCAUUACCUUAU
rfam:Yersinia mollaretii ATCC 43969 contig00759, whole genome shotgun sequence.